AACACUGACGUCGCGACGCAUAUCAAUAAGCGGAGGAAAAGAAACUAACUAGGAUUCCCUUAGUAACGGCGAGUGAAGCGGGAAGAGCUCAAAUUUGAAAUCUUCAAGGUUCUACCUUGACGAAUUGUAGUUUAAAGAAGUGUUUUCUGUUGGAGUUUUGGUAAAAGUUCUUUGGAAUAGGACAUCAUAGAGGGUGAGAAUCCCGUAUUUGACCAUUUCUUCCAGCUGUGUGAUACACUUUCAAAGAGUCGGAUUGUUUGGGAAUGCAGUCCAAAAUGGGUGGUAAAUUUCAUCUAAAGCUAAAUAUUGGCGAGAGACCGAUAGCGAACAAGUACCGUGAGGGAAAGAUGAAAAGAACUUUGAAAAGAGAGUUAAACAGUACGUGAAGUUGUCAAAAGGGAAGCGUUUGACACCAGUGUUGUUUUCUCGAAAAUCAAUUAAAAAUGACCGGAUUUUGUGCUGUAUUGACUUUAUCAGCUUUCUGCACUUUUAUCUUGUCUUUUUUAAUGCACUUUUCGUUUAACAAGUCAACAUCAAUUUCUUUUGUUGUAAAAGGGUCAUUGGAAGGUGGCUUUCAUUUCGGUGAAAGUGUUUAUAGCCUUUGACUUCUGCAAUCGGAGAGAUUGAGGUCUGCAGCGUAGAUCCUUCGGGGUUAGAUACAUUUGUGCUAAGUUAUAGCCUUUUCAUAGACAACAUUGUUGACUAUGAUCAUCAUGUAGCUUACUCGCUUAUGUCUAUUUUACCUACGCUUAGGAUGUUGACGCGCGUGUGUGCGUG
rnacentral:rRNA from 1 species